rnacentral:rRNA from 1 species
CGAACGGGUGAGUAACGCGUGAGUAACCUGCCUUACACAAGGGGAUAGCCUUUGGAAACGAAGAAUAAUACCCUAUAAAACUAUAAAAGCACAUGCUAGAAUGGUCAAAGUGCUAGCGGUGUAAGAUGGACUUGCGUCUGAUUAGCUAGUUUGUGAGAUAAAAGCUCACCAAGGCAACGAUCAGUAGCCGGCUUGAGAGAGUGUACGGCCACAUUGGGACUGAGACACGGCCCAG